rnacentral:rRNA from 1 species
CUCCUACGGGAGGCAGCAGUGGGGAAUCGUUGCACGAAUGGAGGAAACUCUGACUGCAGCGACGCCGCGUGAGCGAUGAAGCCUUCGGGUGUAAAGCUACUUUCGACGGGUAACGAGUAAUGACGGUACCCGGAGAAGAAGCUGCGGCUAACUACGUGCCAGCAGCCGCGGUAAUUC